ACCGGGUAGUGCAAUGUGUGAUAUGAAUUAGAAACAAGAAAUUCUAGCUCGAACAAUCUGGAAAUAACAACUAAAUAAAAAUCGAACAAAAAAUAAAUUAGAAAUUCUGAUUGUAUUUUUGCGUCCUUCCCAAUAAGAACUACAUUCCAGGAAAAUGUGUUUCUUAAAAAUGACUUAUAACUAAAUCCUUGAGGUUGAUUGCCACAGGUAAUUUUGUCAAAAAUUGCUCGCGUAAGUCAGCGAGUAAUGACGGUAGAGCAAUGGAAAUCCAAUUUCUAGAAAAAGCUCAAUUUCCUAACAGGAUAAAUUUCAUGCUUUCCGCAAGCUCAGAUUUGACCGAAAAAAUCCAGGGUGUUGCCAGAUGUAAGAAAAAAAUUUAAUUGGCGAAUAAAUAUGAAAUGUAAGUUCUAUGUAAACAAUGAAAUUGAAGGAGCUGGUUAAACUUUGGAUGAUUUUAAGAGCAUUCUGAAAUUUCUGAGUUUAUGAGGUGCUUCGUCGUUAAAAUGGAAGCCCUGUUGAAUUCCUCGCAACCAUCAAAUUCCAUGAGCGUCACGAAGGUGAUCAGAAAUGCAACGACUGAUUCUGGAAGCUUUAAUGAAGAAGAAUUGGGAUUUGACCGUGAACUAGUGCACAAUAUAGUGGUUGUAGUGGUGCCCUUAUUUUUUGGAUUGAUCGGUAUCCUGGGACUCGUUGGAAAUUUAUUAGUGGUACUUGUAGUUGCAGCUAAUCCGGGAAUGAGGUCCACAACAAAUAUCCUGAUCAUCAAUCUUGCGAUCGCAGAUUUACUCUUUGUGAUGUUUUGCAUCCCAUUUACGGCAACAGAUUUUGUCUUACCGUAUUGGCUAUUCGGAAACAUUUGGUGCAAAGUUGUACAGUACCUGAUCAUCGUCACGGCCUGUGCUAGUGUAUAUACUCUAGUCCUGAUGAGUUUAGACAGAUACUUAGCAGUAGUGCACCCUAUAGCUUCAAUGUCUGUGAGGACUGAGGGACAUGCCUUCAUUGCAAUCUGCAUCCUAUGGGCUGUCAUCCUAACAUUCUCUAUUCCAACUCUCAUCAUUCAUGGCGAGAUCCAUUAUGUUUUACAGGAGAUGGACACCUCAACACCAGAAAACUUUACGGCGUGUAGAAUACUUCCUCAGUUCAAUUGGCCUCUAUUUCAACUGACGUUUUUUCUAUCCAGCUACGUUGUGCCUCUGACCCUUAUAUGCGGUCUUUAUUUAUGUAUGCUCCUGAGAUUAUGGCGAGGGUCUCGUAUUAGCGCAGAAAGUCGUCGAGGGAGAAAAAGAGUGACAAGGCUGGUUCUCGUCGUCGUUGGAGUUUUCGCCUUCUGUUGGUGUCCAAUUCAGCUAAUUCUUGUAAUCAAGUCUUUGGGCGGUUAUCCUCUGACGACUUCAACAAUCAUGCUGCAAAUUGCGAGUCAUGUCCUCGCAUACACGAACAGCUGUGUCAACCCGUUCCUCUACGCCUUUCUUAGUGAAAAUUUCCGAAAAGCCUUUCGAAAAAUCAUUUACUGCAGAUCACGAAUGGAUCCACAUUAUCGACUAGGAGGACCACCUACAAGAACCACUAGGACUGCCAGUACAGGUGACAAACUUUAGGGAGUAAUUGCAACAACUUACUUUUAAAAGAUGGUAAAUUUCCUUUUUGAAAAAUGUUACAACUUUCAAAUUUUAUAUUUAUCGAUUCGGCUGCACCCGGAAGCCAAAGAUGACAUGGAUGUUAAUCUGCCAGACACAAGACGUUCCGAAAAAUAGAAUUUUUAAUUUAUGAACAAAAAAACUAGCUUUUGGGAUACAUCAGUGGUGAAUAAAAGCGUGAUAAAUUUGAUUGAAAAUAUUAUUAGGAAGCGAAAGUUUCCUCAAGUUCGGACGGUAUUGAAAAAUCCAAUUAUCAAUUUAGGAAAAGAAAUUUUAUUUCUAUCUAUUGAAUUGCUCAAUCGAUACAAAGUUUCAUUGGAACAUAAAAUUCCAUUUCGAGACAAUAGAGAGAAUGGUUUAUUAAACAUUCACGGGAUAUAGAAGUUUCAGUGUUCAAUUGAGGUGUGAAAAGUUUGAUUGAAAGAUAUCAUCCCGUCCAGAGAAAAUAAAGGGAAAAUUUUCUCCGCUCGAGGCUCAUAUAUCCUUAACCUUAGACGGUGAUUGAAAUGCCUAUUUUAUAAUUCAAAAAUGCAACAGCUAAAUAUAUUUGCAGCUGAUGAAUGGAAAAAAUUGAAAGUUUCAAAAAAGAAGCAAAAACUUGCAUCGAUACAACUUUUUUUUAAUUGCAAAAAAAAUUGAAAAAUUACAAUAGAAACAAAAAACAUUUUCUUACAACUUCCAUUGGAAUUUCUUGGAUUUUUGGAGCCAAUAAUUUCAUUCUCGCCAAAAUAUCAUAUUUUCAUUUCUAUAACGCUACUUGUCAUACCUCUUUUUAAGUAAAAGAUAACAUUUGGAUUUAUGUAUUUGACUCAUUUCGGAAAUAAUCAUAGAAAACUAUUAUCAUGGAAAUGUCCCAGUAAAAGGAGGUAAUAUCAAUCUUAGGUAUCUGAUCGACUCGAGCUUGCCGGGUAUAUUUUUAACGAGAUAUUUUCGUCUCACAGUUUCUCUCUUGUGAAGAAUUUCUUAUUUCACUUAAAAGAGAAAAAGGAGCCUUUUUCAGAUUUAAAGCGACUUGGUUGAAAAAAAUGAAAAGUAUUAAAGUACAUUAGUGUAUACAUUUUUAGUAAGUCUUUCGCAUGCUAUAUAUUGGUGACUUUCUUCACAGAAUAUUUUAAAUCAUUAAAAUUUUAAGUGUUUAGGAAUUAAUUAUUUUUACUAGCAGGAAGUUUCACUCAAUGAAAUUGUUUUAGACAAGGGGACUCAAAACUGAAUAAUAUUAUAAAUAAACUUAAUUUUUACAGUGUCAUUCAUGAGAGUGUAAUAUAAUCGACCAAAUGUUCUAUCUCUAGUUUUCAAUAGAUCUUUACGUUUCGGCACGCAUAGAAUCCAAAAAUCAUACAAUUUUAUCGGUGUCUGUCAGUUUGUAUGCAUGGAUGUAUGUCUGGAUGUAUGUCUGUCUGUAUUUCUGUAUUUAUUGUUACCUGAAUGUUGUAGCCACGCUAACUUUUGAAGGAUUUGUCUAAUCGAGUCUGCCUUUCACAGGCUUCUUAAGGUUCCCAAAAUACAGGUUAAUAGAAAAAAAAAUG